CCCAGACGAAAAGCCCCAAAUCUUUCUUCCAUUUGGAUGCGCUCGCUCUCCUCGGCUGCCUUUCUGCUUCUUCCCUUUGGUUUCUCUUCUUUCUUAGCGGAAUCGAUUAGAUCAGAGAAGGGAGGCGAGAAAGAGACGAAAGAGCGAGAAACCUCAUAAUCUGGAAUCGUGGUCGGGGAACAAACAAGUUUCCGCCGCUCAUUUGUGUCGCGACAAUGACUUCUACCUGCCUAGCGUGUCGUACCACGGGUAGCCCAUCGCCGUCAUUCAGGAGCUACUCCGUUUCGAGUUCAAGCUCAGAGGAUGAGGGACAAUGCAUUGCUCUCAUCGCCUGUUUGGCCCGCCGGGUCACUGUGGCUACCACCGGGUCCAGUAAUGCUAUUUCAACCUCCAAAGUAGCUCCGCAGCCGAUGGUGGCAAGCAGUCAAGGUGUGGCUGGAACUCCACGGCUUCAGCGCAGCCGAGCCAUGAGCAGGGACCAAGUCAGAAACUGGAAUUUCUGACCAUGCUCAGAUAGAGGGAGAGCAGUCCACUCUCCCUAGUGUAUAUUUUGGUCACCAGUUGGUGUUUCUGUAUAUUUUCUUUCUUGCAUUUGGAUCUUUAGUAGUUCUGGAGUAUUGCAAUUGCAUUUUGGUCA